AUUACCCAGUACGAUAACAAGGACUAAGAACUUCUUGUGUUUCUCCAUGUUUUUACGGUAUACCAACGGCUGCGACAGUCAAUUUUUCGCUGUGCUUUUCGAAAAUGUCAAAGAGGCGCCCGCGGAUGUGACAGUGUUUCUCCGAACUGCGUUUUGAACGCACACAGAAGAGCGCUGUGCUGGAGCUGAGGGUGGUUCACUAUCAAAAUAAUCCCUCGCAUUUCCUCGCGAGUGUCUCGUGGCCGAGGUGGUCCACAUUGCGGACUCUGUGCAGUGCUUUGGUGUUGUGAGGUGUGUGUUUGGGGCGCGUGGAGUGCCCGAGAUGGCAGACCAGAAUCUUCAGAUGCUGCUGGAGCUGCUGAAGAAGAGUGGCAACAACGAGUGUGCUGAUUGCGGCAGCAAAUAUGUUGAAUGGGCAUCGUACAACAUUGGCAUCUUCCUGUGCACUCGUUGUGCGGGUGUGCAUCGCGCCAUGGGCGCUCACAUCUCCAAAGUGAAGCACUUGAAAUUGGACAAAUGGGAGGACAGUCAACUGGAACGGAUGAAGGAGGUUGGCAAUGUGAAGGCACGUCUCAAGUAUGAGCAACGGGUUCCGGCCUGCUACAGACGACCCACUGAAGACUCCCCCCAAGUGCUCAUCGAGCAGUGGAUUCGCGCCAAGUACGAACGCCUGGAGUUCUCCCUCAAUGAGCGACCCAGUUAUACUUCUGGCCACAUGGAGGGCUUCCUCAUGAAGCGCGGCAAGGAGGACAGUCGCUACCAGCCGCGUAAGUUUGUUCUGUGCGAGACGGAUGACACGCUCAAGUACCAUGUGAAGGAGAGCAAGGACCCAAAAGCCGUCCUGCGAAUAUCUGAACUCAAUGUGGCAUUCGCGCCGCCCAAGAUUGGCCACAUGAACUCCAUGCAGCUGACGUACUUGAAGGACGGCUCCACCAGGCACAUUUACGUGUACCACGACGACCCGGAAGUGAUUAAUAACUGGUACAUGGCAAUUCGCUGCGCGAAGUUGCACCGCCUGCAAGUGGCAUUUCCGUCCGCGUCCGAGGCGGAACUCGUGCAUCUGCUGACGAGGGACUUUGCCCGCGAAGGGUGGCUGCUCAAAACUGGACCACGACCCUCUGAUGGCUACAAGAGACGCUGGUUCACCCUGGACAACAGGAAACUCAUGUACCACGACGACCCGCUGGACGCUUAUCCGAAAGGCGAGAUCUUCCUGGGCCACCAAAUGGACGGCUAUAGUGUCCGAAUAGGGGCACCGCAGGGCGCCAAGGAUCAGGGCUUCAGCUUUACGCUCUUCACGCCCGAGAGGGUGUUUAAUUUGUCUGCCAGCACUGAACAGGAGCGCGAUGAGUGGAUGCACGAGAUCCAGAAGGUGCUGGAACGUCCGCUCACGCCGCAAGACAGCUCAAGCAAACGGAGGAGAGGCUUUUAUUUCAUUCACCGUCUCACGAAAUUACUCUAUGGAAAAUGAUUACUUUUAGCCUUGACCUCAAAAAAAAAACAUGAGAGACCCACCAAAAGUCACACAAAAACCUUCUCAUUGCAAGCGUGAAAAGUCUGAAAAUUGGUUUCUGCUAGACUCAUUCGGAAGCGAACAGGAACAAAUUCAAUAAACAUCUUCACGGGACGAUAAUGAAGGAUGACGGUGGCGAGAUGGCACUUUUAGAGCUGCAUU